rnacentral:rRNA from 1 species
UACGUAGGGGGCUAGCGUUGUCCGGAAUCAUUGGGCGUAAAGAGCGUGUAGGCGGCCCGGUAAGUCCGCUGUGAAAGUCGGGGGCUCAACCCUCGAAUGCCGGUGGAUACUGUCGGGCUAGAGUGCGGAAGAGGCGAGUGGAAUUCCUGGUGUAGCGGUGAAAUGCGUAGAUAUUGGGAGGAACACCAGUGGCGAAGGCGGCUCACUGGACCGGUACUGACGCUGAGACGCGAAAGCGUGGGGAGCGAACAGG